AUUGAACGCUGGCGGCAGGCCUAACACAUGCAAGUCGAACGAGUGGCGGACGGGUGAGUAAUGUCUUGGAAACUGCCUGAUGGAGGGGGAUAACUACUGGAAACGGUAGCUAAUACCGCAUACCAUCAGAUGUGCCCAGAUGGGAUUAGCUUGUUGGUGGGGGAACGGCUCACCAAGGCGACGAUCCCUAGCUGGUCUGAGAGGAUGACCAGCAACACUGGAACUGAGACACGGUCCAGAAUCCUACGGGAGGAAGCAGUGGGGAAUAUUGCACAAUGGGCGCAAGCAUGAUGCAGUCAUGCAGAGUGUGUGAAGAAGGCCUUAGGGUUGUAAAGUACUUUCAGCGGGGAGGCGUUACCCGCAGAAGAAGCACCGGCUAACUCCGUGCCAGCAGCCGCGGUAAUAC
rnacentral:rRNA from 1 species